rnacentral:rRNA from 1 species
AUAUAUGGCCAUGCUACCCUGAACAAGCCCAAUCCUGUCUGGUCUCGGAAGCUAAGCAAGAUCGGGCCUGGUUAGUACUUGGAUGGGAGACCACCUAUGAAGACCAGGGCUGUAAGCA